AGGCCUAUAAAAACACAAAAUGUCAUAGACAGCUACAGAUGGGAAAAAAGAAACAGUGAUUCCAGUAGACUUAACAGCUCUCAACUUAAGGAAGAUGAAAUUAAUUGUAGUAAUUUUUAUGGCCGUAGCUCUGACUUGUGUAUCAGCAGGCUUAGGCCUAGACCUGUGUAUGCUGUGUCAAGACGACACAUGUAGGAAUACAUGCAAGCUCUUCAGUGGCAGAAAUGUAUCCGUCAAAAGAGCUUUUUGUCUACAGUCAUGCGGAUUGAGUGACAUUAUCUGCUUUGACAAAUGUGCCACGAUUGGUUGAAGUUGAGUCAACUUGUCAGGUUUUACUGCUCAUGACAGACUAGCUUAAAGUAAGAAAAACUUGCAACAAAGUUAAAAAAACAACCGCAACUAAUAAACCUGUAUCUUAGAGCAAGUAACUA
rnacentral:sRNA from 1 species